CAGCCUGCCCAGUGACAAAAUUCAACGGCCACGGUAUCCUAACCGCGCAAAGGUAGCAUAAUCACUUGUUCUUUAAAUGAGGACUUGUAUCAACGGCACCACGAGGGUUACACUGUCUCCUCUUUCAAAUCAGUGAAACUAAUCUCCCCGUGAAGAAGCGAGGAUACCCCUAUAAGACGAGAAGACCCUAUGGAGCUUCAAACCCAACUACACCCCUAAUUUAUAUAUCCCCUUAGCCGCACCGGGCUCUGUAUAGCUGGUUUUAGGUUGGGGCGACCACGGAGCAAAACAAAACCUCCACAAUGAACGGGAACCACCCCUUAUCUAAGGCCCACACCCCUAAGAAUUAGAAUACUAACAUAAAAUGAUCCAUUAUUUGAUUAAUGAACCAAGUUACCCUAGGGAUAACAGCGCAAUCCACUUCAAGAGCCCAUAUCGACAAGUGGGUUUACGACCUCGAUGUUGGAUCAGGGUCUCCUAGUGGUGCAGCAGCUACUAAAGGUUCGUUUGUUCAACGAUUAAAACCCUACGUGAUC
rnacentral:rRNA from 1 species